rnacentral:lncRNA from 1 species
GCUAUAUAGGGAUCUUAUAAGUUAGGUCUAUCUCAAAGUCAUCGAGGUAUUAUCGUCGAUUGUAGAUUGGGAAUCUUAUAAGUUAGUCCUCUAGAGGUCCCUUUAGGUCUCCCUCUGCUCGAAUUUAACUUCACCUCAGAUCUAUAGAUUUUUAGCUCGGAUCUGCAGGUUAUACCUCGGAUUUGCCUUCACUUCACCUCGGUUGGUUGAUUUUUAUCUCAGAUUGGCCUUCACCUUGGAUCUUGUCGCUUGGAGUCUGGCCUUGGAGUCUGGCCAUCGGG